CCAGGGAGGGAAGGAGGCUCUGUCCACGGGACCCCAGGACAGCCUGCAUGCGGCAGUGGGAUGGGGAGGGCAAUGGGUCCAUUGCACACGGACCUCUCCCAGGUAAGGGUGUGGCUGAGUGCUGCCCAGAGUUUCCAGCGCUGCCUGGGCCAUAGCUGGUGUCACAGAGUCAGCCCACCUCCCUCCCGACAGGACAGAAGCACUCCAAGAGCAGAUCCCCCGCCUCUAGAAGAGGGCUGCCCAGCCCAGCUUGGCCUCUUGCCACCACAAGAUGGCGCUGCUUGUGGGGCUUUGUUUGUUGCAACCGCAAGGCACAGACCCAGGUACAUCCUGCGUGCGCUUCAGCGCACCCGUGUGUGCGCAUGCGUGUGUGGCCGUGCCUGGUGAGCGACGAGACGCACGGUGGACGUUUCUGCCUAUGUGUGCAGAUGUACUCUGCGGCGUGCAAAACCCCUGGACCCAGCAGGAAGCUGCCGCAGUCCUCAAGUGCCCCUUCCUCCAGGAAGCCUUCCAGACUUCCCAAAUUUCUGCACUCUGGGGGUCUCCAGCAAGUAGUCCUGGGUGAAUGGAUCACUUACAAACCUGUGAGCAGGAAGCCAAGGGCUGAGUCCCCAAGUCCUCUAGGGGCUGAAGAAUCCUCUAGAAGUUCUGGAUGGAGGCUCAGGCUUACCCUGGAAUCACCCCCAUUGCAGAGGCUUCACCUGCUCUAAAGCUCAACGUGGAACCUCAGGUGAGAUCUGAGAUGAGAGACAUCUGUCCGCUAUUGGCCCAGGUGGCAGCAACUGGCACUGCCCAGCUCCAAGAAGUUUCACGUUAGUUGUGCUGUGAACACUUUCAUGUGCGCUCUGCAAGCUCAUGCAACAGAGGCCAAAUGAGGUAAAAGUCCUGGCCUUGAGGUCCCAGGGAUCCAGCUUGCUUGGAUCCUGGAAGUCCGCAAGGCAGGUGGUCGGGCCUUCUUCAUGUCCAGCGGGAGGAACUCUUCGGGUCCUGCAUGCUCACGCACUUCACCGCCCCCCUUUCGUAUCCUGUGUCUGGAGCAAAGGCUCCCCCAGUGUGCCCUGAGAGCUACCAAGGGCACAAAUGCCCUCUUUGCUGCAGUGCCUGCAGUGACCUGUGACAGCAGCUCUUCAACAUCCAGUGUGACUAGAAAGAACCACCAGGCCCCCAGCCCUGCCCUGCAUCUGUCUUGCGUCUCAGUGGCCCAUUGUGGAGACCACUGCAUCCCUCUGACCAAGCAGCUCUCUUCUCCCUUGCAAAACUGACCUUGGGUAUGUCCCAGUAUGGACCCCAGGAGGGGCCUCCCUUCAGUGGCAUGGGGAACUAUGGCCUCCUUUUCUUUAAAUAUUUAAGUCCAAUUUGGUCAGAUAUUGACAUUAGCCUGUGAACAAAAACUCCAAGUGCCAGGCAAGAUGCAGUCUGCUCUUGCAAUGGGGGCCCUCAGGGCACACACCUGCCUAGAGACUGCCCUGUCUUCAAGACUCAGUUUCUUCCUUGAGAAAUAAGAGCUGGAAUCACCAUAGCCCCUGUACGGCACAUGGACCACAGACCCAGGUUCUGGGAUCCCGUAUCGUGGCCCUGUGCUGACCUUGGGGUGGUUGGACACCACGUCUGACUGUAAACUGAUUGGAGAGCCAUGCUUGUGGGCAUGCGCUUGAGGCAACGCACAGCAGGGCAAAUUCAUCUGUGCUUUAUUAAAAAGAAAGAAAGGGCUGGAGAUUUAGCUCAGCGGCAUAAGCGCCUGCCUUGCAAGCAGGCAGUCAUGAGUUCGAUCCCCGGUACCAAUAAUAAGGAAAAAGACAAAAAAAUAAAUAAAUAAAAAUAAAAAAAAAAAAAAGAAGGAGAAAGAGGAGGACAACUUCCUAGGGGGGCUCUGAGGUUGCUGCACCUCCUCCUCCCACACCCACCCUCUGCGGGGUGUUGCCCUGCUCCCCGAUUUCCCCCUCCCUGCCCUCCAAGACCCACAGUGGCUCCUCUUUCCCCACGUAGACCCUGAAUGUCUCCACCCUGGGGUGCUUUCCCCAUCUGGGCUCAGUCAUCUCUCACUGUUACAGACCUUAUGCCUGUGUAUGUUCUCUUUCGAGACGAGAGUUGUUCCUGUAGGAUGUCCUACCUUGUACUGGGUGGACAGUGCCUGUGCAAUGCUGGUUGAGUGAAUGAAACCUAGAUUUGAAAAAGAAAAUGUCUCAAAACCCAGAAUAUUCUAUCUGCACAAGAGGACCAGGGCGGUGAACGGAAUCCUUGCUAGGCCUGGGAAUGGGAACACAUUAUAACAGGAUUUCAUCAGCUACGAUGGAGAACCCUGCAGAGCCAUCCUGGGUAACUUUCAGGGCCCUUGGAAUGUCCCAGUGGGUAUAAAUUAAUGGUUUGUACUGAGUGCUGUGAGGUCUGUCUUUGCAUAUGAGGAGAGAGACAAGCUAAACUGAGAUGUAUUCUGACUCUGGACUCAGAGGCAUUAAUUACUUAAAUGAAUAAGUAUUAAAUCAAAGGCCUUGCUUCAAAAAUUAAACUCAGAUUAGCCCCUU